rnacentral:rRNA from 1 species
UAGGGAAUUUUCCACAAUGGACGAAAGUCUGAUGGAGCAACGCCGCGUGAACGAUGAAGGUCUUCGGAUUGUAAAGUUCUGUUGUUAGGGACGAAUAAGUACCGUUCGAAUAGGGCGGUACCUUGACGGUACCUGACGAGAAAGCCACGGCUAACUACGUGCCAGCAGCCGCGGUAAUACGUAGGUGGCAAGCGUUGUCCGGAUUUAUUGGGCGUAAAGCGCGCGCAGGCGGCUAUGUAAGUCUGGUGUUAAAGCCCGGGGCUCAACCCCGGUUCGCAUCGGAAACUGUGUAGCUUGAGUGCAGAAGAGGAAAGCGGUAUUCCACGUGUAGCGGUGAAAUGCGUAGAGAUGUGGAGGAACACCAGUGGCGAAGGCGGCUUUCUGGUCUGUAACUGACGCUGAGGCGCGAAAGCGUGGGGAGCAAACAG